ensembl:lncRNA uncharacterized LOC113489705
UGUUGAGCUACUGCAGUUGUGAGGCCACAACUAUGGAGCAAGGAUGGAAAACUAGAGCAUCUCUGCUCCUGGCUAUGAGUGAACAAGCCACUCUGAUGGUCAUACAAGGCUAAAUCACCUCUUUCCUUUUGCCAGGACAACUGAAGAGCUGCAAAGGUGAAGACAAGCUUCCAUUCUUGGUAAUCAUAAGUGCCCUUUAACACCAGUGAGCUGCACUGUGCUGAAGACAUUUUGCUACUCUCAAAUAUGGGAAGGGAGUAAUGGGAAAGUCCCAUCAGAGGGAGGUGAAAGACUUUCAUCAGAGAAAGGAAUGAAGGCCUGUGUUCAGAAAGACACGUGAGAUGAAAACAGGACUUCACAAGAAAGUUGGUGACAUUUUCACUAUUAGACAACACAGAGAAAGAGUGGAAAAAAUGUCAGAGUGAUGUCAUUUGCAUGGAUGGAGCUCAUCAGUCAGCUGGUGUGCAGAGGCUGACUAGAGAAAGAUCUGACUGUGGACAGAGGAAAAAAUGUAACUUGGCUCAAGGCCCUGUCUUUCAGAGAAACAGCUCCUCUGCUGACCUCUACAACUGUGUCACACUUCAUGCCACUUCCUUACAGGAGUCCAGGGUACUGCAAGGGAAAAACAUGCAUUUUGAAACCCCCAGUGGCAAGAACUGAGCCCACUGUUCUGGCCACACAACUACAGAAGAUUCAGUACAGUGUUCAAAAUGUGAGCUUGAUCUUGAAUUCUUUACUUGGGUGAUGCUACCACUAAAUCAGUAGAAAUUUUUUUUAAAUAAAAAUACAGAUCCAGGUUUUUAGGUGGUGAAU